UUUUAACCAUAUGGUCCUUUCGUACUAAUAUGGAUUAACAAUCUUAGGAUAGAAACCGACCUGGCUCACGCUGGUCUGAACUCAGAUCAUGUAAGAAUUUAAAGGUCGAACAGACCUAAUCAUUGGGCUCCUGCACCCAAAAUUUUUCUUAAUCCAACAUCGAGGUCGCAAUCUGCUUUGUCGAUAUGAGCUCUCAAAAACAAUUACGCUGUUAUCCCUAAGGUAACUUAGUCUUAUGAUCAUAAAUUAUGGAUCAAAAUAACAAACAUAAAUAAAUGAUAUAAUAAUGAAGAGUUUAUCUAUUCUUCAUGUCACCCCAACAAAACAUCAUCAUUAAAUAUAGAAAGACAAACAAAAAACUAUAUAAAAGUAAAAUGUCAAGCUCUAUAGGGUCUUCUCGUCCUAAAGAAGAAUUUAAGCCUUUUGACUCAAAAGUUAAAUUCAAAAAUUUAUUAAGAGACAGUUGAUUUCUCGUCAAGCCAUUCAUUCCAGCCACUAAUUAAGAGACUAAUGAUUAUGCUACCUUUGCACGGUCAAAAUACCGCGGCUCUUUAAAAAUACGCUCAGUGAGCAGGCCAGACCUCAAAAUAUAAACAAGAGGACAUGUUUUUGAUAAACAGGCGGAAAUCAAUUUUGCCUAGUUCCUUAUAAUAAGUUCACAAGGUAAAAAUUUCAUACAAAUAAAUAUACUAAUUCUAUCAUUAUUACAAAAAUUUUAAAAUUAAAUUAAUAAUCUUAAUAAAAAACCUAAAAUAUUUAUAAAAUCAAAAUAAAAAAUAAUGAACUAAAACGUAAUCUUAAAGAUAGCUGGUUUAAAGCUUACUAUUAUAUUUCUAUAAAAUAAAUUAUAGGUUAUUAACUUCAAAGCUUAUCCCUUAAAGAAUAAAUAAGUUAAUAUUUUUACUUAAAAAAUUAAAUAAAAACAAAUAACUUUAAAAAAUUAAAUUUUUUCUUAAGAAACUAGAUAUCUUGGGAAACGAUUAACAUCUCAUUUCUAUAAAUAAUUUAAUAAUAAUUAUGAUACAUUAACUAUAAAUUAUUUAUAAAUCAACCCAAAUCGAGACAAGUAAAAUAAAUACUAAAAUUUUGAUAAACCCUGAUACAAAAGGUACAAUAAAUAAAAUCUACUUAAAAAAA